GUUUUUGUAGAUCUGUUUUGCUUUCAAGAGCUCGAUUUUCAAGUCUUUGGUGACUGCCUGAAAGUCAGUAACAGCCCCCUCUUUAAAAGCCUGUCUCUUUUUCCUUGAACAGGAUUUGAUGCAUUUGGUGACCCAUGGCUUAUUGUUAGGGUACACUUUAGCACGCUUAAGGGGUAUAAUCAUGUCUUUACAAAAACUGCAUAUGAGCUAACAUCCACCAAAGCAUCAAGACUGAAUAAAAACUUCCCAAUCUGUAAAUUUAAAACAUUCCUGCAAGGUAAGCACAGAUUCUUCUGACCACAUGAUUGAUUGAUGAUAACAUAAUUUUUUCACCCCCCAAAAAUUCACGUUCAAAGCAACAUAUCAGCCCGAUAUCACACAGAACUGUCACAUGACAUCAAACACAAGCUUUCAGCUCUGCAGAGUGGGCAAUCAUAAUGAAGCAGUUCAUUAUAAGCUGCAGACUCAAGCUGCUCUUCAUAUAUUUGUCCACCAGAUGUCACCAAAGAGGACUGUGAUGAAAGCUUCGAGUAAUGAACCGUUUUUCAUUACAAGCUUGGCCAACUGACUACAAUCUACAAUAAACUAAUAUGGCUUUUCAAUCCUCUCUUCAAUCACUUGGUACCACCAGGAACCUUUAAAUGGGCACUCGAGCUGCCUGGAGACUGUUUUGUCGUGCACAUCAGAGAAACCACAGGCAAACAUUAAACAGCAGCAGCUGGAAAACUGGAAAACCUAAAGCCAAAUAAUCAAUAAAACACAACAAACUUUUGUAUGACCAGGCAGAAACAUCUCACAGCAGCUGGAAAAACCAGUGAGCACACUUUAGAGGAAAAAAGUGAAAGUUUAUGUUCAACUGUAAAAUAUUCUCUGUAAUGUAAAUUGUUCUGCUCUCUGACAAACCAUCAGAGGUGCAGCACGUGUAUCAUUUGGUGUUUGAAGCAGAAACAAAAGCAAAGAGUUAAAGGAAGACACAUUUGAAGAAGAAGGAAAAUGAAAACAAGACGUCACUGAGCAACAACCUGACAGAACGAGAGCAAACAGUUUACUAUCAGAACUGAGGCUGAUCAUUAACAGGGAGCAGCAGGUAACAAGGUCAUCAGCAGUGGAGGAAAGUAUGGAAGUAAUACUCAGCUUCAUAUUUGAAGAUACUCGAGUAUCUUAGCUGCAGGUCUGGAACAAUGGUUUUAUUUCCUUUCCCAUUAAACAUCUCACACAGCCCCUCAUCUGUGACCCUUAGCAAACCCACUGGAUAUCUACCUGCACAUAAAGGAGAUCAGAUCAGUUCCAUCUAGACCAGCUGUAACAGGAAAAUGCUGCUUACACUUUGAUGCAUCACUUUCAGUUUGUCAUAUAAGACAAUAUAUCAGAUUGAGGCAUUAUUUUCCUGCAGUGAGUAAAUCUACUUUGUACUUUACUCUUUUCUUUUAGGUAAAGGCUCUAAACAGUACUUGUACACUGUGGAAAUCCCAUAAGAACGUCUCCUGAACUCUGAAAAAUAACAAAACAAAGACUAAAAGGAGGUCAUGGGUGCUGCUGCUGAUGAUGAUGAUGAGGAGGAGUAGCAUGCAUUUAAAAAGUGACUGAUGUCCUAGAAUACAACAGAACAGUGUCUCUACAAACUUAUGAAAACAUGACAGUCUUGCAUUAGUUUGUAUUCUUAUGAUUUCAAAAAACGAGGGAAAAAUCUCCUUGAAAUGCACAAUUCCUUUUUGUUAUUUCUUAGUGUGUGACGUAUUUUAUUGGCUUUAUGAUUGGUGCAAACAGUUUCCUGAUUCAUAAUGGAAAUAGAUUUUAGACACAGGAGGAACACGCAGUGAUCAGCAGGAGCAGCUUGGAGUCCAGUCUUCUUCACACUGAGGAGGGACAUAUAUGCAGGAACAGUUGUCAUAACUGUUACAACCACCAGAUGGCGAAAGAGUCCCACUGCAACUUUAAGCCAUGAAGGAUGUGUCUUGAUGUUUGCUUGUGAUAAAUCUGCUUUAUGUGAGUCUUUUUCAGAGAGUAACAGUAAUAUGUCUGAUUAUAUGUCUUUAAUCAGUAAAGUCUCGCUUUGCUAGAAAUAAAUCAAUAAAUAAUAAAAUUGUAAACAUGCAGCUGUAUGUUAGAAGUCAAAGGGUCCUUAAGUCUUCUGUAAAUUGACGGGGA
ensembl:lncRNA